CUGACUGAAGGUUAGAGGGGCUGACUGAAAAUGGAGCUAUAUCUUUAUGCAAAUACAUCGAUUUUGCAUAAAAUCUAUAUUAUACCUGGUUGCAGCUACAGGCUCUCCUGCCUUUCCUCGCUCCUCCGUAUUUGAGACCGAGCUCCCCCUGCCAUCCCAAAGCUCCUCAGGUUCAGCACGUAAACACUGCAAUUACUCGGCCUGUCCUUAGAAGAGGGGUGGUUUCUCCUCAUAAAGAAGGAAAGAACGUGCGUGGAAAAAAGAAGAGAAUAGGAAAAAAGAGGAGCUGGAGGAAAAAUCAGGGUAGUUUGUGUGAUUUUUUGUGUGCAAAGCACCAUAAACAAGAUGCACAAAGCAGAGGUUAAGAGCAUAACGAUGCGCCUCUGCAGAGAAAUGUCAGGGAUUACAGACCGCGUGUUUCCAGCCCAAGUCGACGUCCUUUGCACGCCACCGUGUCACGGGUUUCAUCAAGGCAGAGACUGCUGGAGCUCUUCGCUGACGUUCGCCUCUGUACAUCUGGGAAGAACCCCUGCCUGGGCCGUGCUUCCUCCCGAGAGCAACAGCACGACGCUGGCACGUUUAGAAUAAAUUUUGAU